rnacentral:rRNA from 1 species
UAGGUCGGAUUAGCUAGUUGGUGGGGUAAUGGCUCACCAAGGCGACGAUCCGUAACUGGUCUGAGAGGAUGAUCAGUCACACUGGAACUGAGACACGGUCCAGACUCCUACGGGAGGCAGCAGUGGGGAAUAUUGGACAAUGGGCGAAAGCCUGAUCCAGCCAUGCCGCGUGUGUGAAGAAGGUCUUCGGAUUGUAAAGCACUUUAAGUUGGGAGGAAGGGCAGUAAAUUAAUACUUUGCUGUUUUGACGUUACCGACAGAAUAAGCACCGGCUAACUCUGUGC